UGGACAGGUCGGGUAGGGAUUUUCAGCUUCGUGUGACCUACGCUCAGGAAGUUCUUUGCCCAAAAUCUUCUUUCAGACUCUGUCCAUGUGCACUGAAGUACUGUGAAAAGGGAAUGAGUAUUAAAACUGUUAGAGAUGAUUUCCAAAAGUGGUGUGGCCUUGUGGUUGUGUCUCGGCAGACUGUCUACCCAGAGAGAAGGAAGAACUGGCAAUGAACAUCUCCACCAACUACUUCCGGAUGGUGGUUCCUAAACCCUUUCCACGACAGAAUCCCUGGAGGAUCUUUUAAGAAUGCCAAAGCCGGCCGGG
rnacentral:lncRNA from 1 species